AAUCUUGCGCAAUGGGCGAAAGCCUGACGCAGCAACGCCGCGUGGGGGAUGAAGGCUCUCGGGUUAUAAACCCCUUUCAGCAGGGACGAACACUGACGGUACCUGCAGAAGAAGCCCCGGCCAACUACGUGCCAGCAGCCGCGGUAAUACGUAGGGGGCAAGCGUUGUCCGGAUUUAUUGGGCGUAAAGAGCUCGUAGGCGGCUCGGUAAGUCGGAUGUGAAACCUCCAGGCUCAACCUGGAGACGCCAUCUGAUACUGCCGUGGCUUGAGUCCGGUAGAGGAGCAGGGAAUUCCUGGUGUAGCGGUGAAAUGCGCAGAUAUCAGGAGGAACACCAGCGGCGAAGGCGCUGCUCUGGGCCGGUACUGACGCUGAGGAGCGAAAGCGUGGGGAGCGAA
rnacentral:rRNA from 1 species